rnacentral:lncRNA from 1 species
AAAAAUUUCCCAUACAGAGACGAUACCCCAUCAACCUAAAAGCCCUAAACCCUACGAUUUCCCCAUACCUUCCUCGUCAACAACGACAUGCAAAUAAUAUAUAAAAAGCAGAAAUGCUCGCCAUGCCAUGAUGAUUUCUUCGCUGCACACAAAUGCCACUGAAACAGAAACCUCCCAAAACCCUAAAUCUCCUUUUUAUCCAUAUACAAAACCAGAAAAAAUUCCAAAGGACUAGUCAAAC